rnacentral:rRNA from 1 species
GUGGAUUAGAUACCCUGGUAGUCCGCACUGUAAACGAUGAUUACUCGUUGCUGGGGAGCAAUUUCCAGUGACCAAGCGAAAGCGAUAAGUAAUCCACCUGGGGAGUACGCCGGCAACGGUGAAACUCAAAGGAAUUGACGGGGGCCCGCACAAGCGGAGGAGCAUGUGGUUUAAUUCGAUGAUACGCGAGGAACCUUACCAGGGCUUGAAAGUUAGGGAAUAACUCUGAAAGGAGUUAGUCAGCAAUGACCCGAAACUAGGUGCUGCACGGCUGUCGACAGCU